AUUCUAGGGCUCACUCUUCCCCUCCCAGAAAGCGAAGAUCUAUAGCUUGUCUCCCCGUCGGCCGCCGCCGGCCCGCCGGAUUUCCGUGGCCGUGUGGCGGGAGGGGCGAGCCGCGGGCGUAGCAAGCCGGCGAGCCAGACUGGCGGGAGGGGGGGCAGGGGGGACGGAGCCGUGGGCGCGCCGCCAGCGAACCCAAAUUUUGCUAGAGCCAGGCACCUAGUUCUCAAGGGCGCGUCUCGGCACGGGUGUAGGAACAGUACAAGACCAUGUCUUCAAGGAGAGGAGGUGGUGGCCGCCGUGGUCGUGGCCGUGGCCGUGGGAGAAGUGCUUUGGCAGAAAAUGAUAUGGACUUUCAUGAAACCUCUGCACCUUCUUCCCCGAGCACUACUUCUGAUAAAGAGGACAAUAUUGAGUUCACUUCGCAGCAACCUUGUCUUGUAAGCCCAGCAGCAGAGCAUGUAUCCAACACGUUACUCAACCCUAAGAUCAACCACCGAUCGGAUGCAAUCUUCGGUGAUCAGGCUGUGGAGCAGUUGAAGUUGCGACAUCACAAACCUUUAAAAUUUCAUGAGAGAUACCGUCCUUAUUUGAGGGAUGCUGGCCUUCUUGGGCUCUCACAAAUUUGCCAGAAGAUGCCUCAAUUGGACAAGGCAUUGAUCACUGCCCUUGUUGAGCGUUGGAGACCAGAAACUCAUAGUUUUCACUUGGCUUCUGGGGAGAUGGCAGUUACACUACAAGAUGUAGCAAUGUUGUUAGCUCUUCCUAUUGAUGGCCGUCCAGUUUGUUCUACCACUGAUCAUGAUUAUGCGCAGAUGGUCAUUGAUUGUCUAGGUCAUGAUCCAAGAGGACCAUCAAUGCCUGGAAAAUCUUUUCUGCACUACAAAUGGCUGAAGAAGCAUUUCUAUGAAUUACCAGAAGGAGCAGAUGAUCAGACUGUGGAGAGGCACGUUCGAGCAUAUAUCCUGAGCCUUUUAUGUGGGGUGCUAUUUCCAGAUGGAACAGGACGGAUGAGUCUGAUAUAUCUUCCACUGAUUGCUGAUCUUUCUCGUGUUGGGACAUACAGCUGGGGAUCUGCAGUGCUGGCCUUCCUAUACCGUUCUCUUUGUUCUGUUGCUUCCUCCCACAAUAUCAAGAACAUUGGUGGUUCAUUGCUUCUCUUGCAGCUUUGGAGCUGGGAGCGCUCCCAUGUUGGCAGACCAUUGGUCCGGUCUCCCCUGUGCCCAGAGACAGACAUUCCACAGGAUUUGCCCCCUGUUGGCUUUCGUUGGGUAGGUGCGCGCACACAAAGUGAGAAUGCUACACGCUGUCUUAAGCAGUACAGGGAUGAACUGAACCUGCAGCGAGCUGAUCAGGUGAAGUGGGAGCCCUACUUGCACAUUGAGUCUUCAAGCUUGCCAUUGCUUUGUACAAAAGAUGCAGAUUUGUGGCUUACACAAGCUCCACUAAUAAAUUUUCCUAUAGUCGAGAUGUAUUUGCCUGAGCGAGUGAUGCGGCAAUUUGGGCUUCGCCAAUCCAUUCCACCACCUUUUCGACCUACCCUACAGGCGCUGCAUCGUAUUAGUCGACGUGGCAGAGAACGUGAGAACUGGGAAGAGACACAUCAUGAGUACAUUCAGGAAUGGGAAGCCCGCCGGCAGCGCAUAUUUCCAGAGUCAGAGCAGUAUGACCCAUCGUCUUAUGAGGAGUACCUGCAUUGGUACUCAGGAGUUACACGGCGGUAUCUUGUACCAUCAAUCAGUGAUGAUGUGGAAGCAGGACCUUCAUUACAGCCUGAUGAUUCCAUUGAUCUGCAGUAUCAAGCCAAGGCUCCUAUGAUCCGCAAAGCAGUUGAUAAACUGCACGGUAUGGUAAAGAAGGCCAAGAUGGCCAUGACAUCCACAGCUGAUACAACCAAACAAGCCUUGGUCUUUGAGUUUCUGCAUGGCUUUCAGGAUGUUCUCCAUGACCUUGGCGAGAUCAAGGAAAAUGGUGGUUCCGCUACUAGUCCACAUGUUGAAUCAGCUGCCGCUCAAGACUACUUUUGCUAGAAGCUGAACAGAACAUUGUUCAUGCCGAUCAAGAAGCUCAGCAUCAGGAAGAGGAAGAGCUUCACAUGGUGGAUGAUGCAACAAUGACCCUCGAGCCUAUGGAUGAGGAGGAUAAUGGUUUCAACAAUGUCAUCUGCCCAUGUCCUUCACUGGAGUUGGAGGAACACAGUCACUCAGCUACACCAGCCAUCGAUGAGUGUGAUACAGCCACUCCUGCUCCAGGCUCUGCAAUCCCACAGCAAAGCACUAGUGUUGAUCAAGAUGGACAUCUGGAAAAUCCUAACGAAAUGGGCCAGAUUGAACUAAUGGUGGAACCUAUGUAUGUGGAUCACAAUGAUUCCAACAAUGUGCUCUCAUCCAGCACGUCAGCUCAGGCGCUGUUGGAGAAUUGUGAAGUAGCAGAGGCAGUCAAUGAAAAUGUCGAUCCAGCCACCCAAGUUACUGGCUCAUCUACCCCAGAACAGGGCACGGAUGUCAUAGUAGAUGCUGAACAAGAAAACCCAGCCACAACAGAGGGCAACUAACUUCAAUGCCGUCCCCUCGUCUGCAAAGGUGACAGGCGAUUCUGAUUUCUCCCCUUAUGGACCAAUUCGUGCCACCUAUGUAUAGUGCUUAGAUGCCGUUGUCCGAAGGUUCAGCAUAUUGCUGACAUAUUGCCCUGGUUGUUUGACCAUGAUGGGCUCCACUGGAAAUUUUAGCCGUAAUUACUGAUGUAGCUUACAUAUCUCUUGCUUUCCAAAGUCAUUACACUUAUCAUUAUCAACAUUUUUGGUUUUUUUUUGUUUUUGAACAUGCAUUCGAUUUUCAA